rnacentral:tRNA from 1 species
GGUCAUGUAGCUCAGUUGGUUUAGAGCACCCGCCUGAUAAGUGGGAGGCCGCUGGUUCGAGUCCAGCCAUGACCA